CCUACGGGUGGCUGCAGUGGGGAAUAUUGGACAAUGGGGGCAACCCUGAUCCAGCCAUGCCGCGUGUGUGAAGAAGGCCCUCGGGUUGUAAAGCACUUUCAGUGAGGAAGAACGCCUGGUGGUUAAUACCCAUCAGGAAAGACAUCACUCACAGAAGAAGCACCGGCUAACUCCGUGCCAGCAGCCGCGGUAAUACGGAGGGUGCGAGCGUUAAUCGGAAUUACUGGGCGUAAAGCGCGCAUAGGUGGCUUGAUAAGCCGGUUGUGAAAGCCCCGGGCUCAACCUGGGAACGGCAUCCGGAACUGUCAAGCUAGAGUGCAGGAGAGGAAGGUAGAAUUCCCGGUGUAGCGGUGAAAUGCGUAGAGAUCGGGAGGAAUACCAGUGGCGAAGGCGGCCUUCUGGACUGACACUGACACUGAGGUGCGAAAGCGUGGGUAGCAAACAGGAUUAGAUACCCUUGUAGUC
rnacentral:rRNA from 1 species